rnacentral:lncRNA from 1 species
UAUUAUUACUUUAUAUAUUCGCUAGGACCUAAAGGGAGUCAAAAAAAUUAUUAUCUUAGCAUCUCCAACAGAGUUGCUAAACUUGAAUUUUGACCAAAUUUAUGUAUUUUUGUAGCAAAAAUCAAUUCUAGCAGAAUACCUAAACAAAUUUUUAUUUUAACUAUUGCUAAGCUAGAUUGAUAAAUUUAGCAAUUGGGUCUGAAUUGUUAAAGCAAAAGCAAAAGCAAAAGCAAAAUUCUUUUUUUUUUCAUUUUGUCCACUUGUUAAUUCAUGAUUGGUCAAAAUUUAUCAGUUAACUCUAAUUAAAUAACAAAUUAAUGUUGGAGCAUCAUUGCUAUUUCGAUUGUUAAAUUUAGCAACAAACUAACUUAGACUACUGGAGAUGCUCAUUUAGUGAGGUUUCUAGUAAUAUACAAUUGAAGUUUAAUCUAUCGAAUAUUUAUUUAUCGAGGUUUUACUGUACUUAUUUUCCGCCAACCAAAUAAGGCUUUUAGACAUUGUGGUACAAUCAGCUUUAUUGUUGCUGGUGGUGGCGACGACGCGAAGCGACGCUGAUGCGACUAUAAGAGCAUCUCUAAAAGUUCCUCAAAAUUUCUUUAAAAUGGGGAAGAAAAAUCCAAAAUUUCUAAAAAAUUUAUGCUCCAACUCCAACAACUUCUCUAUUUUAGAGAUUUCGGUAUUUAUUACAAUAAUAAAAAAAAAUGCUACAUGAUUAUUAAUAUAACAACAAAAAAAUCAUAUAUUUCAUUGUAACAUAAAUUACCCAAUAAAAUAUUCUAUAUUUUUAUUCUUAUCGUUGGAGCACGUGAAUAAUUAAUAUUUAGGAAAGGAAGAUUUUGUUAUAAAUUUGGGGAAACAGUGUUUCUCUUUCUUCUCUAUCCCUAUUUUGAGAAACGAGACGAGGAAGCUGUUGAACCACAAAACAACUCAAUAUUCCCCAAAAUUAAUAAAAUCAAGAAAAUGAAAAAGCUGUUGGAGACGUUCUAACUCAUUACCUAAUACUUAUUAGGUUUGGGAGUCACUCGUUUUGGGUCUACAGAUUGGGCUUAUGGGCCUUUCUGGACUUUUCCAUAUUGAAGUUCUGACUUCUGAGCAUGCGGAAUGUGUUU